rnacentral:rRNA from 1 species
GAUGAACGCUGGCGGCACGCCUAAAACAUGCAAGUCGAACGGGAAAUAGAAUAGUAUUUAUAUUAAUUUAUUUUUAGUGGCGGACUGGUGAGUAACGCGUGAAUAACCUGCCUAAGACAGAGGAAUAGCCUUCAGAAAUGAGGGGUAAAACCGCAUAGGUUGUAAGCUCGCAUGGGCUAGCAAUUAAAACUCCGGUGGUCUUAGAUGGAUUUGCGUCUGAUUAGCUAGUUGGUGGGAUAACAGCCUACCAAGGCGACGAUCAGUAACCGGCCUGAGAGGGUGUACGGUCACACUGGAACUGAGAUAUGGUCCAGACUCCUACGGGAGGCAGCAGUUAGGAAUAUUGCACAAUGGGGGGAACCCUGAUGCAGCGAUGCCGCGUGAAGGAAGAAGGUCUUCGGAUUGUAAACUUUUAUCGAUAGUGAAGAAACAAAUGACGGUAACUAAGUAAGAAGCCCCGGCAAACUAUGUGCCAGCAGCCGCGGUAAUACAUAGGGGGCGAGCGUUAUCCGGAUUUACUGGGCGUAAAGGGUGCGUAGGCGGCAUGCAAAGUCGAGUGUUAAAGACCGAUGCUUAACAUCGGAAAGGCGCUCGAAACUUGCAAGCUAGAGUAAAGGAGAGGUAAGCGGAAUUACUAGUGUAGAGGUAAAAUUCGUAGAUAUUAGUAAGAACACCAGUGGCGAAGGCGGCUUACUGGCCUUAUACAGACGCUGAGGCACGAAAGUGUGGGGAGCAAACAGGAUUAGAUACCCUGGUAGUCCACACCGUAAACGAUGAAUGCUAGGUGUUGGUGUCUAAAGAUAUCAGCGCCGCAGUAAACACAAUAAGCAUUCCGCCUGAGGAGUACGGCCGCAAGGCUAAAACUUAAAGGAAUUGACGGGGACCCGCACAAGCGGUGGAGUAUGUUGUUUAAUUCGAAGCAACGCGAAAAACCUUACCAAAGCUUGACAUCCCUCUGAAAGCCAGAUAAAGAUGGUGUAUAUCCUUUCGGGGAACAGAGGAGACAGGUGGUGCAUGGUUGUCGUCAGCUCGUGUCGUGAGAUGUUGGGUUAAGUCCCGCAACGAGCGCAACCCCUAUUGUCAGUAACCAUCAUUAAGUUGGGGACUCUGGCAAGACCGCUGUAGGCAAUACAGAGGAAGGUGGGGAUGAGGUCAAAUCAUCAUGCCCCUUACGCUUUGGGCUACAAACGUACUACAAUGGACGGAACAGAAAGAAGCAAGGCAGCGAUGCGGAGCAAAUCUAAGAAAACCGUCCUCAGUUCAGAUUGCAGUCUGCAACUCGACUGCAUGAAGUUGGAAUCGCUAGUAAUCACGAAUCAGCAUGUCGUGGUGAAUACGUUCCCGGG